CAGCCGCCACGGUAAUACGAAGGGUGCAAGCGUUACUCGGAAUUACUGGGCGUAAAGCGCACGUAGGCGGAUAUUUAAGUCAGGGGUGAAAUCCCGCAGCUCAACUGCGGAACUGCCUUUGAUACUGGGUAUCUUGAGUAUGGAAGAGGUUAGUGGAAUUGCGAGUGUAGAGGUGAAAUUCGUAGAUAUUCGCAGGAACACCAGUGGCGAAGGCGGCUAACUGGUCCAUAACUGACGCUGAGGUGCGAAAGCGUGGGGAGCAAACAGGAUUAGAUACCCGAGUAGUCCCUGUCUCUUAUAA
rnacentral:rRNA from 1 species